ACAUGUACUCAGUCUAACUUCUACUGACUUUCAUUCCCCUUCUCUCCAAAACAUAUCUCCACCUCUCCAGACUAGACUCAACUUUCUCUCUACUCUCGCUACAGAUCACAAUGCAAUCUGAAAA